AAAUUAAACAUUUCACACACAGAGCUUUCCCAAUUCUCUCUCUCACCUCCUCUCUCUAAGCUAGGGUAGUUCACACAGCUUUAGGGCUCUAUUCUGUCUGCGUCUUUCUCAAAAAUUGGCGGUGGAGUGGUAACGGCGACGGUGAAAAAGCGGUAUUGAAGGUCAAUUUCACUUAAUCCCGUGAUUGGAGGGCUAAGAAGGAAACUGCUCUACAGAGGUUUAGAAGCGGCUGCUGAGUUGGAAAGGUUAGGUGGAGGAAACUGAAACUUUUAUGGUCUGUUUGUGUGAGUAGAGCUCCAUCUUCAACAAGAGGGGUUGCUUGGAUGGUAAGAACCCUCCACCUCCAACGUGAAGUUGUGGGUUCAAGUCAUCAAGGGAGCGAAAAGGGUGGGAUAUCUUUGAGAGUUCUGUUCUAGGGGUGGCAAUGGGGUGAGCAGGGAGGGGUAGGGCUAACUCUAAAUGGGGUGGGGCAUGGCAGGGUGAGGCAGAAGUUGAUUUUUCAAACUAUCUUUUGUUGUUAUUUUGAAACUGCUAUUUUUGGAGGCAAAGCAAGCUCUAGUGGCAGAUUUGAUGUUGCACUCGAAGAUACAUAUAAGAUAGUGCAGUUUUACCAGUAUAUUAUGUGAUACAAAAGUUUUGCUGCUGAAUAUGAAUAUAUCUUGUGCUUUUUA